UGUACACACCACCCGUCACACCACGAGAGUUUACAACACCCGAAGUCGGUGAGGUAACCGCAAGGAGCCAGCCGCCGAAGGUGGGGUAGAUGAUUGGGGUGAAGUCGUAACAAGGUAGCCGUAUCGGAAGGUGCGGCUGGAUCACCUCCUUUCUAUGGAGA
rnacentral:rRNA from 1 species